CAGCACGGACGGCAAGAUGCCUGGGGACCAGGUGAUGUUCGAGAAGACGAUGACCGGCCUCACUUCGGUUCUUGCGGGCGCGGACGCCAUCUUCGGCCCUG
rfam:Euryarchaeota archaeon RBG_16_62_10 RBG_16_scaffold_17093, whole genome shotgun sequence.